AGAGGAGGUGGGAAGGGAGCCCCCACCUGGCGGCCCAGCCGCUGACCCCGCCCUGCCCUGCUCGCAGUGGCCCAGAGGAAGCCGUGGCUGGUGGGGCUGGGGGCCGUGCUGGUCAUCCUCUUCCUCAUCUUCGUCCUCACCAUGGUCUAUGCCAUCUGGUGCCGCCAGGCCCGUGACAGCAAUAAAGAGAAGGAAGAGGGGACCGUGAGAGUGGAAGAGAAAGAAGCAGAAGGCAACUGGGGGCUGAAGCAGGAGGAGAAAGAGGGGCCUCUCGACCAUGAAAGAGUGGCCAGCUCCUCUGAAUGAAGGCUUCCCACCUGCCUCCUCCAGGCAGGCCUCCCAGGAUUGCCCAAAGCCUGCUCCGCACCCUACAAGCAAAGACCUGGUGCUGGGGCCAGUGAAAUUAUUCCAUGUGGGGGUUCAGGUGAAGUGUCCCUGAACCAGGAGCGCUCAGGCCCCGCCCCAAGUCCCCCCUUUGCAUUUACUGGGUGUUUAUACACCCCCUUCCCAAGCCUCCUUUGCGCCAGUAAGAGGGAUGGUGGGGGGGGGGCGUCAAAGGCCCUGCGGUGUUUGUGGGUCCCAGAGGCGGUCCAGCCCCCCGGCUGUCUUGCUUUUGUUGCUCCUGGGCAUGAACUUUGAGCAGGGCCCAGCGCAGGGCGUUUCCUGGGAGACGAGGGGCCUCCCACCGUGUGCUGAUUUUCUGGUCACUGUCUGCUAGCUGUGCCUGGGUGCGGGUGCUGCGGGUGGGAGGAGACGCAGUGUCAUCACCCCCUUCUGUGCUGUGCUCCUGGUGACCGCUCCACAGGAGGCUUGAACUCCCAGCGUCUUUGCUGUGUGGCCCUAAGCAUGUAACUUAACCUCUCUGCAUAAGCUUCUUGUCCUGUAAAAGGGGGAGGAAAGUAACUUGAUCUUUUACAAGUUGUCAUGAGGAUUAAAUGAAAUAAUGUCCAUGAAAAUCUCGAGCACAGAACCCAGAACCCAAAAAGUGUCUAGUAAAUGUCAGCUUUUUGUUAUGCUGAAA